GACGAACGCUGGCGGCGUGCUUAACACAUGCAAGUCGAGCGAUGAAGCUCCUUCGGGAGCGGAUUAGCGGCGGACGGGUGAGUAACACGUGGGUAACCUGCCUCAUAGAGGGGAAUAGCCUUUCGAAAGGAAGAUUAACACCGCAUAAGAUUGUAGUGCCGCAUGGCAUAGCAAUUAAAGGAGUAAUCCGCUAUGAGAUGGACCCGCGUCGCAUUAGCUAGUUGGUGAGGUAACGGCUCACCAAGGCGACGAUGCGUAGCCGACCUGAGAGGGUGAUCGGCCACAUUGGGAGUGAGACACGGCCCAGACGCCUACGGGAGGCAGCAGUGGGGAAUAUUGCACAAUGGGGGAAACCCUGAUGCAGCAACGCCGCGUGAGUGAUGACGGUCUUCGGAUUGUAAAGCUCUGUCUUCAGGGACGAUAAUGACGGUACCUGAGGAGGAAGCCACGGCUAACUACGUGCCAGCCGCCGCCGUAA
rnacentral:rRNA from 1 species